AGACCCUGCUCCAGCUCCUUGGGGGUCUGCAAGAAGGAACCUGGCCUAAACCUGGUCCCUGGAGGGACAGGGACAGUUGCCACCUCCCAGAGGAUGCAGCUCACAUUCCAACGUUUGUUGUGACUUGGAACAAAACCUGCAGGAGCUGAGCCAUGAGAGGGGACAGCCUCCAGACACCGAGAAAUGGUGUGUGAGGCUCUCUCUGUCUCCUGGAGGAAGAAGUCAGGGGGCUGUUUGAGGCCUUUUUCUGUUCAUAUCAAACCAGGAGAGAUGUGGACUCUGAGGAAGUGAUGUCCCCACACCUGGCACAGACAGGAGUUACCUUGCUGGGCAGUCACACAGCAGGUAUUUCUCUGAGCAGAUCCUGCUCUUGGGGCUUUUGUUCCCCAGCACAUUCCUGUUUUAUCUGCUCCUUUGGCAGAGGUGCCAGGCAGCACAAUGAAACUCCUCAGGAAAUGGAGACACAGAAGUUUUAAUAAAUGCAAGUUAUCUAAAAGA